UACGUAGGAUGCAAGCGUUGUCCGGAUUUACUGGGCGUAAAGCGCGCGCAGGCGGCACAUUAAGUAAGGUGUGAAAUAUCCCGGCUCAACCGGGAGGGUGCACUUUAGACUGAUGAGCUUGAGGUCGGUAGAGGGGGGUGGAAUUGCUGGUGUAGCGGUGAAAUGCGUAGAGAUCAGCAGGAACACCCGUGGCGAAGGUGGCCCCCUGGGCCGUACCUGACGCUGAGGCGCGAAGGCUAGGGGAGCGAACGGG
rnacentral:rRNA from 1 species